rnacentral:rRNA from 1 species
GACGAACGCUGGCGGCGUGCUUAACACAUGCAAGUCGAACGGUGAAGCGCCUUCCUUUUUGGUGGGUGUGGAUGAGUGGCGAACGGGUGAGUAACACGUGAGUAACCUGCCCCCUUCUUCUGGAUAACCGCAUGAAAGUGUGGCUAAUACGGGUUAUUCUGGGUCUGUCGCAUGAUGGGUCUGGGAAAGAUAUUGUUUCGGUGGGGGAUGGGCUCGCGGCCUAUCAGCUUGUUGGUGGGGUGAUGGCCUACCAAGGCGGUGACGGGUAGCCGGCCUGGGAGGGUGAACGGUCACACUGGGACUGAGACACGGCGCAGACUCCUACGGGAGGCAGCAGUGGGGAAUAUUGCACAAUGGGCGCAAGCCUGAUGCAGCGACGCCGCGUGAGGGAUGGAGGCCUUCGGGUUGUGAACCUCUUUCGCCAGUGAAGCAGGCCUGCCUCGUUUGUGGGUGGGUUGACGGUAGCUGGAUAAGAAGCGCCGGCUAACUACGUG